GGGGUUGUAAUGGUUUCGACGGGGCGUAAGGAAGAUGACUGAAGCCUGCUCGGUUAGAGCAAAAACACAAACGCUAACAAAAUCGUUAGUUUCUCCCGUCAAACAGCACCAGUUGCUGCUUGAUUUCAAAGGAGAUGGGGUGAUAUCAGCCUUAUCAACCAAAUGAUCCAAGGAGCCUGGAAGGGCUCCACCUUU
rnacentral:tmRNA from 1 species